UCCUAUUUAAGUCUCUAGUAGGGCUAGGAUAUCUGGCUUCCACCCAGAAGGCCCGGGUUCGAUUCCCGGCGUGGGAA